rnacentral:rRNA from 1 species
UACGUAGGCAGCGAGCGUUGUUCGGAGUUACUGGGCGUAAAGGGUGUGUAGGCGGUUGUUUAAGUUUGGUGUGAAAUCUCCCGGCUCAACUGGGAGGGUGCGCCGAAUACUGAAUGACUUGGAGUGCGGGAGAGGUGAGUGGAAUUCCUGGUGUAGCGGUGAAAUGCGUAGAUAUCAGGAGGAACACCGGUGGUGUAGACGGCUCACUGGACCGUAACUGACGCUGAGGCGCGACAGCGUGGGGAGCGAACUGG